UACGGGGGGGCAAGCGUUGUUCGGAAUUACUGGGCGUAAAGGGCUCGUAGGCGGCCAACUAAGUCAGACGUGAAAUCCCUCGGCUUAACCGGGGAACUGCAUCUGAUACUGGAUGGCUUGAGUUCGGGAGAGGGAUGCGGAAUUCCAGGUGUAGCGGUGAAAUGCGUAGAUAUCAGGAGGAACACCGGUGGCGAAGGCGGAUCUCUGGGCCAUUACUGACGCUGAGGAGCGAAAGCGUGGGGAGCGAACAGG
rnacentral:rRNA from 1 species